rnacentral:rRNA from 1 species
AGGACGAACGCUGGCGGCGUGCUUAACACAUGCAAGUGGAGCGACGAACCAGGGCUUGCCCUGGGGCAGAGCCGCGAACGGGUGAGUAACACGUGGGUUACCUGCCUCGAUGACCGGGACAACCCGAGGAAACUCGGGCUAAUACCGGAUGUGCCCGCAAGGGGAAAGGAAGCUUCGGCCUCCGCAUCGAGAUGGGCCCGCGGCCCAUUAGCUUGUUGGUGAGGUAACGGCUCACCAAGGCUUCGAUGGGUAGCUGGUCUGAGAGGACGAUCAGCCACACUGGGACUGAGACACGGCCCAGACUCCUACGGGAGGCAGCAGUGGGGAAUCUUGCGCAAUGCGCGAAAGCGUGACGCAGCAACGCCGCGUGGGGGAAGAAGGCUUUCGGGUUGUAAACCCCUUUCAGUUGGGACGAAGCGAAAGUGACGGUACCUGCAGAAGAAGCGCCGGCUAACUACGUGCCAGCAGCCGC